GAUCACUAGCAGUUGAAGCUGCCAGCAUGAUCUAAACUUCCCUCUCGGCCGGCUGGUUAUAUACGAGUCAAGGAAAGAUCAGAUCAUGUGGCAGCUUCACCUGUUGAUGGC
rnacentral:pre_miRNA from 1 species